AUUGAAUCCAUCUAUCCAUCUAACAGUAUUUAUUUUAUUUUCUCCCUCAGGAGACUGAGAUCAGCAGGAAGAGAAAGGAGUGUGAAGUCCUUGAGGAGGAGGUGAAGAAAAAGAGCCAGUCAUGUCAAACUCUGGAGAGUGAGCUUCAGCAUGUUCUGCAGGAGAAAGCACGUCUGAAUCUCCGCUUGUUCAACGAUACCCAGAAGGCAGCAAAGUAUGAGCAGGUGAAAAAUGAGUAUGAACAGCUGCAGGAGGCUCUGUACACUGUGACAGUGGAGAGAGAUUGCGCUCUGUUGGAGAGGACUGAGCUCCAAGGCAAACUGGAGAACCUAGAGCAGGUGCUGAAGAGCUGUCGUGCACCCUCAAAGUGUGGAUCUGUGAUCGACUAGGAGUCCUGGAGCGCCCUACCCCUCCCCUAACGUCUAACCCUCUCCUGCCCCUCCCCUCUCCCUGCCUCCCUCCAUAUUUUUCAUUCAUCAGGUAUAUCUAAAGACUUUACAGAAGCCAGCACUAACUGAAUGUGGACCUUUUGACUGAGUACUAACAGCUGAUCUGGAUGCUGUAUGUGAUCUGAAUGGUCGGCCGGCUGAGGCACUGCUGAAUGCGUUUGUGCAUGACACAACAGUUAUGCACAAUUACACCCUCCCCUGACAAAAACUAACUCGGCU
rnacentral:lncRNA from 1 species